rnacentral:rRNA from 1 species
AGAACGAUUUGAUAGCUGUCUUGCACACACAUCAUGGUAAAAUAUUCAUCAGUACAAAUAAUAUGCUGCUGACACUAAAGGACAAAAAGACCCUUUGAAGCUUUAUAGGGAUAAAACUCACCUUUAAAUCAACAAACAAUGAAAUCCAUCUUGUUGCUUCUCCGCUUUUUAAAUUGCUAAAGCCUUACAAGAUUUACAACAUCAAGACCACUGUUUAAUUGGGGCGAUAACCUUAUCCACAKMCACCUAAGGUGAACMAWGCGAUACAAGGAUCCUAAAUACUAAUUUGACCAACUAAUAAGUGCAAAGAUACAUGUUUUGCUUAAUGGCCCAACAAGUCCUUCCCAGUACUUAAAUGCUAUCUUAAUGAGCUUUAAAUUAAUUUACCAG